UACGAGGGGGGCGAGCGUUGUUCGGAAUUAUUGGGCGUAAAGGGUGCGUAGGCGGUUUGGUAAGUCUUGUGUGAAAUCUACAGGCUCAACUUGUAGUCUGCACGAGAAACUGCCGGGCUUGAGUAUGGGAGAGGCGAGUGGAAUUCCUGGUGUAGCGGUGAAAUGCGUAGAUAUCAGGAGGAACACCUGUGGCGAAAGCGGCUCACUGGACCAUAACUGACGCUGAUGCACGAAAGCUAGGGGUGCAAACAGG
rnacentral:rRNA from 1 species